AUUGAACGCUGGCGGCAUGCCUUACACAUGCAAGUCGAACGGCAGCACGGGUGCUUGCACCUGGUGGCGAGUGGCGAACGGGGGAGUAAUACAUCGGAACAUGUCCUGUAGUGGGGGAUAGCCCGGCGAAAGCCGGAUUAAUACCGCAUACGAUCUACGGAUGAAAGCGGGGGCCCUUCGGGCCUCGCGCUAUAGGGUUGGCCGAUGGCUGAUUAGCUAGUUGGUGGGGUAAAGGCCUACCAAGGCGACGAUCAGUAGCUGGUCUGAGAGGACGAUCAGCCACACUGGGACUGAGACACGGCCCAGACUCCUACGGGAGGCAGCAGUGGGGAAUUUUGGACAAUGGGCGAAAGCCUGAUCCAGCAAUGCCGCGUGUGUGAAGAAGGCCUUCGGGUUGUAAAGCACUGUUGUCCGGAAAGAAAUCCUUGGCCCUAAUACGGUCGGGGGAUGACGGUACCGGAAGAAUAAGCACCGGCUAACUACGUG
rnacentral:rRNA from 1 species